GGUUUCAGAUAUAUUUAUGAUGUUGCAAAUUGAGACGAGGAUAAAAGUAUUCUUAAUGUAGAAAACAAAAUGUCGUUAACAGUUGGACGCGAACGAAACCAUGCGAACCGAGUUCUACGUACGAAAUAUUUCUUUUUUUUUUCUUUGACUUGAGGAAAAAAAAAAGAAACAUUCCACGAUUAAUAUAAGGAACGUAGUCUUAUCGAGAAUUGUAGUCUCGUUGAAGUAGAAUUGAAUAUUUUUGUAGCAUCUAUGUAUGAUGAUACUAGGAAAUAUCCUCCAUGUGAAAAUUCUUUAAUACAAGAAGAAAAAAUAAAGAAACAAAAAACCAAAAAACCAAAAAACCAAAAAAAAAACUGACGA
rnacentral:lncRNA from 1 species